AUUGAACGCUGGCGGCAUGCCUUACACAUGCAAGUCGAACGGCAGCACGGGUGCUUGCACCUGGUGGCGGAUGGCGAACGGGUGAGUAAUACAUCGGAACGUACCUUAUCGUGGGGGAUAACGCAGCGAAAGUUGCGCUAAUACCGCAUACGCCCUGAGGGGGAAAGCGGGGGACCGUAAGGCCUCGCGCGAUUAGAGCGGCCGAUGUCUGAUUAGCUUGUUGGUGAGGUAAAAGCUCACCAAGGCGAUGAUCAGUAGCUGGUCUGAGAGGACGAUCAGCCACACUGGGACUGAGACACGGCCCAGACUCCUACGGGAGGCAGCAGUGGGGAAUUUUGGUCAAUGGGGGCAACCCUGAUCCAGCAAUGCCGCGUGAGUGAAGAAGGCCUUCGGGUUGUAAAGCUCUUUUGUCAGGGAAGAAACAGCAGCUCUAACACAGUCUGCGAAUGACGGUACCUGAAGAAUAAGCACCGGCUAACUACGUGCCAGCCGCCGCGGUAA
rnacentral:rRNA from 1 species